rnacentral:lncRNA from 1 species
AUAAACAAAAAAAUUGGAUAACAAAGGGUUUUGAACUCGGUAGUCAUGUUGUGUGAUUUUUCUUUCUUUUUUCUGUGCAUCACAUAUACUCUGGGGGUUAAUUUCACUCUUUUGACUCUUUUGACUCUUUUUCUACUCAACUUUUCCGAGCAUUUUAUAUCUGUUAGAAUCUAAGGUCUCGGCAAGUGCAUUUUUCUCUUUUGUUUUUCUUUUCUUUUUUUCCUUUUUUUUCUCUUUUUUCUUUUAAAGAAAAUACAUACUAUUUUUCUUUUUGUAUUCUCAUCUUAUGCACUUGCCUUCUCUUUCAAGAUUUCCACCCCAAACUUAG